CUGACACCAACACCCAGAGUUAUACAAAUGAAUUCGCCAAGUUCAGUCAUGGAGUGCCUACCAACUAUGAAUCAAGGUGCAAGUUCUUUGAAUCCAAUGACAUCCUACUUGGACAACUUUGCACUUAACAAUGGCAACUCUGCAACAGAUUCUACCCUGAACAGAAUGACUCGCUUUGCAAUCAAGACAUUCAAA